UCAGGAAAAGAUCUUGUUUUCCUUGUACUGAAACUUUGUUUUGCCAAGCUGAACCUGAUGUCAGUUUGGGACUUGAGUGCUUCAUUCCAAGUCUUGCUGUAAACCAACCAGGAGUACCGCACAGGGACACUACAGAGAGUCUGUAGGGGUGGUACCUUACUGCGGGUCCUCCUUUAGGACUUGGUUAGGCUUUUGUCUCUCAUGUUCAGCAUUUCUACUUCAGUGAAUCUGAGGAAAACAUUUAAAUAUGUGGAAUUUCAAACCUCACGAAGCUCAAGCCUGUCUUCUUUUGUGAAGCCGUGGGGCAGUGUGUGGUCAAGGACGAGGUGAGCUGUGCUGUGAGGUGCGUGAGCUGCCUUACAUGGAGGAACUGUGUUUGUUGAACACGUUCAGUGAUAAAUAUGGAGUUGUUUUUACUUUGUACUUAUAAAAUAUCACCUCUAAUUGAACUUCCACUACCUUCUGGAACAUCUGGAUGAAGUGACUAGGAAAGGGGAAAGCUGUUAAAUAUGAAUAUGGAGCAGCAUCUGUUGGAGUGCUGGUGGGGAUUUUUCCUCCACCUGGCUAGUUUUCCAGAUGGUUCAGGUGGGCAGAAUUUCAGCAACUGUUUCUGUUGUUUGGUCAGUUUAAAAUGCUGAUUUCUGAAAUCAGAUCUAGUAAUGAAAUAGAUCCCCAAUUUGAUGAAGCAAUUGCUUCACCUGCUGGAAAGUUCUUAGCAGAGCUGUCAGAAUUUUUUUUAUUGUUUUGAAGACUAAUGGGCUCUGUUCUUGCCUGACUGGUGCUUCUCACAGCUGGCUUUGGAGAGAUCCUUUUUCUUGCAAGUAACUGUUCCCCAUUACAGAUCCUUCCUGUGGUCUCGAAUGGAUGUUUUCUAUCUUGCUCAGACAGUUCUAAUGCAAGUCAAGCCUUAGAACAGAAAUCCUCAUCUGUGCAGCAUUUGUCUGUAUAUGGCCACUGAGUGGAGUUACAAGUUACUUAAGGAUUGCUUGUAAGCCCUGGAAAGGCCGGGAGUCAGUCUGGGACAUCAGUCUGAAGUGGCCAUGUGGAAUAACAGAAACAAAUUCGCAGAUGGCUGUGGUUUAUGUUCUGAAUUUGGAUGUGGUACAAGUCAGAGCAUUGCUGAGGGCUGCUGGUGUGGCCCCACACACUGUGCUGGCAACACUCCCUGUGUGCUGGCUCUGUGUGCCCGGAGCAGGUGUGAUGCAGAGCACAUUCAGUCUGCUCAAGAGUGUACUUUAAAGCUUUAGGGGGAUCCUUUUCAAAAAGUGAGCUUCCUGGGUUAAUGGGUAAAAGGUUUGCUUAAUUUGCCUUAAAUACAGAAAAAAAUUACGGACUAUAAGAAUUCUGGGUUUUGACUGUGUUGAUACUACUUUUGUUUUCCUCUGGUGCUUAUGAACCAGCCAAAGCAGGAAAGAGGUUUUUGGUUAAGAGUUUACUCAGGAAGUAUCCCUGGACCAGUUUUGCUUAAACUUGUUGCACAUAGUAAUGUGAUUUGGGAAUGACCUAUGCCCCUGCAGGUAUUCCCACAAACAGGCUGCAGCCCACAGAGGAACAAUGUCAGAGCACAGGGAAAGAGUGAGAAGGAAGGUGCAGCACAGAGAAGCUACUUUGUACCUGGAACACGAGCCCCCAGCAGCUUCUGGCUACCUCCUGCCUCCCUGAAGGGACUGACUGGCACUUGCUGUGCUAACAAGGGAGCAGAGCAGGGCCUGGAGUGACUUGACCCUUGGAAACUUGGAGGCAAGCAAAGCCACAGCCCCUCUCCAGUGUUUCUCACCUGAAAAGAGACUGCAAAUGAGUGAUGGGAGAGCUGGUGAGCACUGUCAGGAAGCUCCUGAGCUGCUCAGCACCUCGCAGAGUCGAGACUUUGGGGUUUAUGUCAGACUGGAGAGCUGCUCUCCCCUGCUCUUGGGAUGCUGCCUGAAUCAGGAGGGGAUGGAAUUCCUGCAUACAGGUCAAUGGAAGGGAUUCGCCCCUCCUCAGCAGUGUGGUGUCAGAUCUGACAUGUGCAGCCAGGAUCACCCAGGAGUGACCAGACGUGUGCCCCGUCCCAGCAGGCACGAGGA